rnacentral:rRNA from 1 species
UACGUAGGGUGCAAGCGUUGUCCGGAAUUAUUGGGCGUAAAGAGCUCGUAGGCGGUCUGUCGCGUCGGCUGUGAAAUCCCGAGGCUCAACCUCGGGUCUGCAGUCGAUACGGGCAAACUUGAGUGUUGCAGGGGAGACUGGAAUUCCUGGUGUAGCGGUGAAAUGCGCAGAUAUCAGGAGGAACACCGGUGGCGAAGGCGGUUCUCUGGGCAUGACCUGACGCUGAGGAGCGAAAGUGUGGGGAGCGAACAGG